ACGGGUGAGUAACGCGUGGGAAUCUACCGUACCCUACGGAAUAGCUCUGGGAAACUGGAAGUAAUACCGUAUACGCCCUAACGGGGAAAGAUUUAUCGGGGUAUGAUGAGCCCGCGUUGGAUUAGCUAGUUGGUGGGGUAAAGGCCUACCAAGGCGACGAUCCAUAGCUGGUCUGAGAGGAUGAUCAGCCACAUUGGGACUGAGACGCGGCCCAAACUCCUACGGGAGGCAGCAGUGGGGAAUAUUGGACAAUGGGCGCAAGCCUGAUCCAGCCAUGCCGCGUGAGUGAUGAAGGUCUUAGGAUUGUAAAGCUCUUUCAACGGUGAAGAUAAUGACGGUAACCGUAGAAGAAGCCCCGGCUAACUUCGUGCCAGCAGCCGCGGUAAUACGAAGGGGGCUAGCGUUGUUCGGAAUUACUGGGCGUAAAGCGCACGUAGGCGGGUAUUUAAGUCAGGGGUGAAAUCCCGCAGCUCAACUGCGGAACUGCCUUUGAUACUGGGUAUCUUGAGUAUGGAAGAGGUAAGUGGAAUUGCGAGUGUAGAGGUGAAAUUCGUAGA
rnacentral:rRNA from 1 species